GACAGAAGGGUGAAAGCAGGUGGCUGAUUGCCGGAAGGCGAAAGCUGGACGGCCGGUCGUUUGUGGAAGCCUGGAAUCUUAUUCCCCCUCACUGUCGUGGUGCUGCCGUACCCUCGGUGUCAGCGGGAGGAGGUCGAAAAUCAAAAUAAAAAUAACGUGUCAUGAUUAAGAGGGACGGCCGGGGGCAUUCGUACCGCGGCGCGAGAGGUGAAAUUCUAGGACCGUCGCGAGACGAACGAUAGCGAAAGCAUUUGCCAAGAAUGUUUUCCUUAAUCAAGAACGAAAGUCGGAGGUUCGAAGGCGAUCAGAUACCGCCCUAGUUCCGACCUUAAACCAUGCCGUCCGACCGCCCGCCAGGGUUACUACCGCGACUCGGCGGGCGGUGACUUUCCACCGGGAAACCCUUAAGCUUUCGGGUUCCGGGGGAAGUACGGUCGCAAAGCUGAAACUUAAAGGAAUUGACGGAAGGGCACCACCAGGAGUGGAGCCUGCGGCUUAAUUUGACUCAACACGGGGAACCUCACCCGGCCCGGACACCGCGAGGAUUGACAGAUCGAUAGCUCUUUCUCGAUCCGGUGGGUGGUGGUGCAUGGCCGUUCUUAGUUGGUGGAGCGAUCUGUCUGGUUAAUUCCGAUAACGAACGAGACUCUAGCCGGUUAAGUAGCCCGAGUGGCGUGUUGUUGAUUUAAAAACCGCCCUAGAGGCAUCCGGGGUGCUUCUCGGAAGCUGUCUGGCUUUAACGGCGAUGGGACGGGGAGGUGGAAGACGACGGUUGGAGCCGCGUUCGUCGCGGCUCGGAUCUAGUUUUUUUAACUUCCCUUAAAUCCUGUCUCGUUUCGGCCUUUCACUUUUGGGAGCCUCCUCUUGCUUACCUGGGGUAGAUAAAACGCUAACGAGAGUCGGGGGCAGUGAACGUUACUCGUGGAAUGGGUGGGCGCUCCUUAGUGGCGCGUCCCUCUUCCCGGUUUCGCUUUUCUGCUUUCCUCGUCGUCUCGCGCCACCGGCUUUCGAGUGCAAAAGCUUCUUAGAGGGACGAGCGGCGUUCAGCCGCGCGAGAUUGAGCGAUAACAGGUCUGUGAUGCCCUUAGAUGUCCGGGGCCGCACGCGCGCUACACUGAAGGGGUCAACGCGCCAUUACGUUUCCCGGGCCGAAAGGCUCGGGGAACCGGUGGAACCCCGACGUAGCGUUCGUGCUAGGGACAGGGACUUGCAAUUGUGUCCCUCGAACGAGGAAUUCCCAGUAGGCGCGAGUCAUCAGCUCGCGCCGAUUACGUCCCUGCCCUUUGUACACACCGCCCGUCGC
rnacentral:rRNA from 1 species